rnacentral:rRNA from 1 species
CAGAGGGGGCAAGCGUUGUUCGGAAUUACUGGGCGUAAAGGGCGCGUAGGCGGCCUGCUAAGUCGAACGUGAAAUCCCUGGGCUCAACCCAGGAACUGCGUCCGAUACUGGUUGGCUUGAAUCCGGGAGAGGGAUGUGGAAUUCCAGGUGUAGCGGUGAAAUGCGUAGAUAUCUGGAGGAACACCGGUGGCGAAGGCGACAUCCUGGACCGGCAUUGACGCUGAGGCGCGAAAGCCAGGGGAGCAAACGGGAUUGGAUACCCCGGUAGUCCUGGCCCUAAACGAUGAAUGCUUGGUGUGGUGGGUAUCGAUCCCUACCGUGCCGAAGCUAACGCAUUAAGCAUUCCGCCUGGGGAGUACGGUCGCAAGGCUG